UUUAACUGAGAUGAAAAGGUU
ensembl:piRNA 21ur-5682 ncRNA